UGCUGUGUACUUUCUCCCUGGUGCAGGGAAUCAGACCCAAGGCCUUGUGCGCAUAGGUAGGAGCUCUACCAUUUAGCUACAAACCCAGCCUUUGUUGUUGGUUUGUUUCAUUUUUGUUUUCACCAAAAAUUCUUAUUACUGCUCUUAUUAUUCUUAUUAUCUUGGUUUUCUGAGACAGGGUUUUCUCUGUAGCUUUGGAGCCUGUCCUGGAACUCGCUCUGUAGACCAGGAUAGGCUCCAAAGCUACACCGAGAAACCCUGUCUCGGAAAACAAAACUAAACAAAAAAAGAGUAAUUUCCAGGCCAGUUUGGGCUACACGGAGAAACCGUGUCUUGAACUAUCACCCCCCCAAAUAAGACCCUGUAUUUCAAAUUAUGAGAAAAAAGGACUCAAGAAAAAUUGAUAUUGAAAAGAGAGAACUUGUUUACAUUAUGAGCUAAAAGAAAAACAGAUUUAUGAGAGCUGGAGAGAUGGCUCAGCCAUUAAGAGCAUUGGCUGCUCUCCCAAAGGACUACUGUUCAAUUCCUAGCACCCACAUGGCAGCUCACAACUGCCUGUAACUCCAGUUCCAAGGAAUCCCAACACCCUCAUACAGAUAUACAUGCAGGCAAAGCAUCAAUGCACAUAUAAACAAACAAAUAAAUAGCAGACUUAAUCACAGAAACCUAGGAGAUUCCUAAAUAGCAAAAGACACACAACAGAGAAUGCAAUAAUGAGAAGCCAUCUGUGAUAUAUAUGACAAACAUUCACAGUGAACAAAUGAUAAUUUCUCGGCAUUGAACACCUGAGCAGGACAAAGAAUAUAAAAAGAGUGAUAUUAGCAAAAAUAAAUAAAUAAUUAAAAUCCCUGAUAUCAUCACGUCUACCUAAUAAAACAUACAGGGGUGUGGAGGUACACACCUAUAAUCCCAUGGCUUAGAAGGAUGUUUCAGAAUAAUCCUGAGUUCACAGUCAGCCUGGACUACUUGAUGAGUUCAAGGCUAGCCUGGGCUAUAAACCAGAUUCAAGGUCCUGCUGCAAAAAUAAGACACUGAGGAGUAAGGCUGUAAAUAAAUGGUAGAGCAUUUGCCCAGCAUGAGCAAAGUCUUGUGUGCUAUUCCCAGCAGGCCAUCCCCACACCUCAAGAUCCUGUAAGAUAAUAAUAUAUUAUUUUUCAUUUAACAUAGGCAAAGAUGAAAUGUGUCCACUGUUGGCAAAGGCACAGAGAAACCCGAGCUGUAAUACAAACUGGUAAUACAAAUUAAAGUAAUGGAAGCAUUCAUCCUUUUGGAACGUACUUUGCCAGCUUCCAUCACAAAUUAGAACAUGGGUUCUUUCAAUUCUAUUUCUAGAAACAUUUCCUAAAGAAUUAUAUAUGUCUAAGAAUAUUCUUGCAGCAUUGCUUAAACUUGCAUAAAACCAGAAACAGUACGGUGGGUGCUACAUGUCUUUAAACCUAGCCCUGGAAAAGCAAAGGCAGGUCUUGGAGUCUAACCUGGUCUACAGAGACAGUUCCAGGCCAGCCUGAGCUACCGAGACCCUGUCUCAGAAACAACAGAAAGACAGAGGCUGGGGAGGUGGUUCAGUAGUUAAGAGACCUUGCUGCUCUUGCAGAGAGAGACCUGGGUUUGACUCCCUGCACCCACAUGGUGGCUCAGAGCGGCCUGUAACUCCAGUUCCAGAAGAUCCAAUACUCUAUUCUGGCCUCCUGGGGCAUCAGGCAUGUUUGUCGUGCACAGACACACGUGUGGGCAAAACAUUCAUACACGCAAUGUAUCAGAAACAACCCAGAUGUCUAGCUCGGUGGGAAUGCAUAUGUCAUGAUAUAUCCAUAUGGUGGUUAGUAUUGUAGGAUGUAUCUGUCACUGUAUAACACCCCCAAGUCUCCCCCUCACAGCAGCAACGUGAGUCUAUUGUCCCCAGAGUUCCAUUGUGUGAGUGAUGAGCAGAGAUGGUUCAACCCAGGAUCCAUCCUGAUGUCCACCAAAGCUGACCUCAGCUGCCUGAUGGGAUAACCAACAGCUCACUCCAUGGCUGCCAGGUGGCUGGCUAGAGGCCAGUUGCUGCUCCCAUGGCUCUCUCCAUAGGCUGUCGGGGUAGCCUCAAUGGAACCACUGAGAUUCUCCCCUCGGUGAGCAGCAAGCCAGCCGAAGGCUGACGACGACAUAAGGACAUUGGAUGAGUUAGCUUUCCACCACUGUGACCACAGUACCCGGAAGGACACCUUAAGGGAGGAACCUCCAUUUACAGUCACCGUGACAGGGGGAUGUGCGGAGCUCACUGCUCGCUGUAAGACGGACAGGAAGAAAAGAAGCCCCGAGUCCAUGGAGGCGAUUGGUGAAGCAUAUCCAGGGUAUCUUUGAGAAAAAGGAUUAACUGAGUGUGAAGACCUGCCCUGAGCGUGCAUGGUUCCAUCCCCCAGGCCCAGGUCCAGACCGGGUGACCUCAAAAAAGGAAGAAACCCGCCCUCUGCUGCCACCUCCUUUCUGCACGCCUAGCACUGGCUCUCCUCUUCAUUGCCCUCCCUCUACCAUAGACGCCUCAGAAGCCCCAGAGUCCAGAGUCUUGAGGCACUUCCAACAGUCUGUGGAGAAAGCCCCGAAAGCAGCCACUGGCAUCUAGGAGGCCCCUUGCCAGCCACACAGUGGCCCAUCAGACAGCUCCAGUCAGCCUUGACUGGUAUCUGCAUUGACCCUCGUCAGAACCCCCUCUGCCUAUGAGAACCCCCCUCCUUUAAGUUGUCACAAGCCCCAAGCCUGCUUUUCUGUUGGUGUAUCCCACUGGCC
ensembl:lncRNA